rnacentral:lncRNA from 1 species
CAGCUUUUAAAUUUUUGGAGAUUGCUAAUUGGUAUGCAAACGUAUCUUUUUAUUUGCUGACAUCUCAGUCAAAUCAGGAUCUUGAAUCAAAGAAGCAAAAGCCUAUAAGUCUUCCCUAUUAUCUUCCCUGUAAAUAAUAGAUUUCCUGCUUUAAUUUACCUGGGGGCAUAAACACAACAAGGAAAGGCAAAGACCUGCCCUUCCUUGGUCUGUUCUACCUAAUAAAGUGGCGUUUACCUGGGACCUCCAAGAGUUAGCCUCUAUUGUGUCUUCCAAAGGAAAGAGAAUAGAUUGUCCUCUGGGCUGAUAUAAACGGGAAGACAGCAGCUGUAUGUGACCUUGUGUUCUGAUAUGGUUCUGGCAUUGGGACAGAAUCUUUUUGGUAGCCUGUCUUUGUCACUUUCUAGCAAGUACAGAGACUAAGCACCUGGGCCUAAGACUCAAGCAAUCCACAAGAUUCCAGACCUCCUUGAGGGUAGGAAAAGGGGUCCCAAUAUUCUCAGCAUUUGAUUAUCACUCUUAGAUGGGCUUCAGAGUUCAGUUAAUGAGCAGACACCACGCCAGGAAGAGAUACAUGAGCCUAGAUCUCAGAGGGUAUGUACUCUGAAGCUGAAAUCAUAAACCAGAACAUCUGACGUGUGUCUCAUACACAAUGAGGGAGGGAGGAUUGCUGAUGGAAAUGUCACACGCAGCUGCUUUUAGCACUUGGCUCUCGCGGAUCGAGCUUCCCCUUCUGCCACUACACCCCACCCUCUUCCUGGAAGAAAGCCGUUUAGGGUUCUUUAGUUCUCAUCCUGCAUGCUGUGAAAACAGCUGUAAAUUUCUAUCUGUCACAUGGGUAUAGUUCAUGGCUGGUAGAUGUACCUGAUGGGCUAUAGAAAUGACUGGCUCAGCUCCUGUUGGGCUCAGGAAAGAGAGUCUACCUGAGAGAAUCAGUUGUGUGCCCCACCCUGAAAGGUUUUGAUGCCUGUGCUUUCUUCAUCUUACCAAAAGCUGUCAAUGGAAGAUUUCAGGCAACAGAAUCCACUAUUCACAAUGGAGACAGACGGCCAAGGACAGCCACCUGGAUUCCUUAUCAUCUCCUCCUCCUCCCUGAAAGCAGUGUCCCAAGGCUGAACACAGGCUGAUGGGAAAGCUCUGACCAGCAAGGCCACUGACUCCCCCCACUCUACAAGCAGCCACAUUCCUCAUCAACC